UCUACUUAAUACAAAAUGGUAAAUAAUCCUCAUCUAUAGUCUGUUGUUGUCCUGUCUUUCAUGAAGAGGAAAGUAACUUAUUAGUAUGAGACAGCCAUUGGCUGGAACAGUACAGUAAAAGGCAUCAUCCAUGAAUAGGGCAAAAGGACACUUACAAUACUGCAUGAAUGAUGCUUAGGUCACUUUCUGAGAUGAAGACAAGUGAUCUAUUAAGUGUUCAAUGAGUCAUGAUCUGUUGCAUGGCCCAGUGGGAAGGAAGGUCCUUUCAUCUGACCUAUGACUAACCUGGAAGUGAUGGCUAGGGCUAAGAUUAAAAGACCCCUGAGGGGUUGAAAAGAUGCUCCCAGAAGAAAAGGAGGGGGAAAGCGAUCAGCUCAGCAGGAAGCUGACCUGGGUAUAGACGCAGCAUGCAGUGAGAAUGACACUCAGACUUGAGAGACAGGGUCUGCAGCUGGCUAGAGAGAACAGAGGACACCAAGGCUAAGUCAUAUCUACCUAGGGGCUUGAGGAGA